rnacentral:rRNA from 1 species
ACGGAGGGUGCAAGCGUUAAUCGGAAUUACUGGGCGUAAAGCGCACGCAGGCGGUUUGUUAAGUCAGAUGUGAAAUCCCCGGGCUCAACCUGGGAACUGCAUCUGAUACUGGAAAGCUUGAGUCUCGUAGAGGGGGGUAGAAUUCCAGGUGUAGCAGUGAAAUGCGUAGAGAUGCGGAGGAAUACCGAUGGCGAAGGCGGCCCCCUGGGCCAGGACUGACGCUCAGGCGCGAAAGCGUGGGGAGCAAACAG